GCCCAUUGAGCAAACCACGCCCCUUUCUCAAUCAAACCACGCCCCUUCUCCGUUAAACCACGCCCAUUCCGCGUUUAGGCCACGCCCAUUUGUAUUUUUUGGGGGGGUCUUCGCGGUUUGAGACCCCCCAAAAAAUUCUCUCAAAAUUCGGAUUUUACCUCAAAAAAAAAAUCCCCUAAAAAUAUAAAUAAGCUCUCAAAACAGCUUUUAAUUUUUUUCUUUUUUUUUUUUUUCCAAAAAUUCGUUUAUUACAAAAAAAAAGUCCAAAAGUAAAACCAAACAAAAAAAAAUAAAAUAAAAUUUAAAAAUCGCGAUGGGGGGAGGGGGUCCCACCCCUCCCCCCACCCCAAAAUUAACGGUUUUAGGUGUCCCCAUCCCAAAAAAAAUCCCCCCAAAAUGGGAUCCCUGCUUUCUCCUCUCUACCCUCUACUCAUCCCCCUCCCCCAGAAUUUUUGGGGUGCCCCUCCCCCACCCCCCCAAAAUCUUUUCCCGCCCCUCCCCCACACGCUACAGAGACCCCACCCCUCCAUCCCCUCCCCCCACCAUCGCUACAACCUAAGGGGUCCCCAAAGACCCCCCUAAAAUCUACGGGGGGGGGAGGGGAACCCCCCUUAAAUCAGGGGGGACCCCCCUUUGUCCCCCCCAAAAUUUGGGGAGGGGUCACCCAAACCCACCACGAGAGGGGGGAGGGGCAGGUUUUGGAGACCCCUCCCCAAAAUUCGCACUCAGGUAUAAAAUCAGGAAUUUUUUGGGGUUUUUUUUCUGUGUUUUUACCCCAAAAAAAUCCCAAGAAUUCCAAAAUUUGGAUCAUUUUUUGGAGGCGUUUUUUUCCCCCUUUUUUUUUGGGGAAAGUUUUUGCCAGCUGGAUUUGAAAUGAGGACCCCAAAAUUUGUCACCUGGGUGUCCCAGGACCCCAAAAUUUGUCACCUGGAUGUGCCAGGACCCCAAAAUUUGUCACCCAGGUGUUCCAGGACCCCAAAUUUUCUCAUUCAGGUGUCCCAGGACCUCAAAAUUUGUCACCCAGGUGUCCAAAGACCCCAAAAUUUGUCACCCAGGUGUGUCAUGACCCCCAAAUUUUCUUUUUCAGGUGUUCCAGGACCCCAAAUUUGUCACCUGGGUGUCCCAAGACCCCAAAUUUGUCACCCAGGUGUGUUGGGGAGGGGUCUCACCUCCUUCAAGGGGUCCUCAGGUGUUCCCAAAAUUGCUCCCCAUUAUUUUGGGGUCACCCCCUCAAUGUCCAGCAGGGAUUCAGAUGUCCAGGGGUCACUCCUGACCACUCUGGGGUCACUCUGAGGUCAUUCCCCACCACCUUGGGGUCACUUUGAGGUCAUUCCUGACCAUUUUGGGGUCACUUUGGGGUCACCCCCUCGAUGUCCAGCACCCCAAGCACUGUCCAAGUGGUCAUUCUUCACUUUGGGGUCACUCCAGAUCACUCUGAGGUCACUCUGAGGUCACUCCAACCUCACCCCUCAAUGUCCAGCACAGAUUGAGAUGGCCAGGGGUCACUCCAGACCACUCUGAGGUCACCUUGGGGUCACUUUGUGUCACUUUGAGGUCACUCCAGAGCACUUUGAGGUCACUUUGGGGUCACUCUGACCUCACCCCUCAAUGUCCAGCAGAGAUCCUCAUGUCCAGGGGUCACUCCAGACCACUCUGAGGUCACUCUGAGGUCACUCCAGAGAACAUUGGUGUCACUCUGACCUCAACCCCUCAAUGUCCAGCACAGAUUCAGAUGUCCAGGGGUCACUCCAGACCACUCUGAGGUCACUCUGAGGUCACUCCAGAGCACUUUGAGAUCACUUUGGGGUCACUCUGACCUCAACCCUCAAUGUCCAGCACUGUCCAAGCUCUCACUCUCCUCCAUUUUGGGGUCACUUUGUGGCACUUUGGGGUCACUCCUGACCACUCUGAGGUCACUCUGACCUCACCCCUCAAUGUCCAGCACAGAUUCUCAUGUCCAGGGGUCACUCCUGACCACUCUGAGGUCACUCCAACCUCACCCCCUCAAUGUCCAGCACAGAUUCAGCUUUCUCUUCCAUUUUGGGGUCACUUUGUGUCACUUGAGGUCACUUUGGGGUCACUCCAACCUCACCCCUCAAUGUCCAGCACAGAUCCUCGUGUCCAGGGGUCACUCCAGAGCACUUUGAGGUCACUUUGAGGUCACUCCAGAGCACUUUGAGACCACUUCGGGGUCACCCCCUCAAUGUCCAGCACUGUCCAAGCUCUCACUCUUCUCCAUUUUGGGGUCAUUUUGGGGUCACUUUGUGUCACUCCAACCUCACCCCUCAAUGUCCAGCAGAGAUUCUCAUGUCCAGGGGUCACUCCUGACCACUCUGAGGUCACUUUGAGGUCAUUCCUCUCCAUUUUGGGGUCACUUUGUGUCACUGUGAGGUCACUCCAAAGCACUUUGAGGUCACUCUGGCCUCACCUCCUCAAUGUCCAGCACCCCAAGUACUGUCCAAGCUUUCACUCCCCUGAUUUUGGGGUCACUUUGUGUCACUCUGACCUCACCCCUCAAUGUCCAGCAGAGAUCCUCAUGUCCAGGGGUCACUCCAGAGCACUUUGAGGUCACUCUGAGGUCACUCCAGAGAACGUUGGUGUCACUCUGACCUCACCCCUCAAUGUCCAGCACAGAUUCAGAUGUCCAGGGGUCACUCCAGAGCUCUUUGAGGUCACUUUGUGUCACUCUGAGGUCACUCCAGAGCACUCUGAGGUCACUUUGAGGUCACUUAGGGGUCACCCCCUCAAUGUCCAGCACCGUCCAAGCUCUCACUCUCCUCCAUUUUGGGGUCAUUUUGUGUCACUUUGGGGUCACUCAAGACCACUCUGGGGUCACUCUGACCUCACCCCUCAAUGUCCAGCACAGAUUCUCGUGUCCAGGGGUCACUCCAAACCACUCUGAGGUCACUCCAACCUCACUCCCUCAAUGUCCAGCACAGAUUCAGCUUUCUCUUCCAUUUUGGGGUCACUUUGUGUCACUUGAGGUCACUUUGGGGUCACUCCACCCUCACCCCUCAAUGUCCAGCACAGAUCCUCGUGUCCAGGGGUCACUCCAGAGCACUUUGAGGUCACUUUGAGGUCACUCCAGAGCACUUUGAGACCACUUCGGGGUCACCCCCUCAAUGUCCAGCACUGUCCAAGCUCUCACUCUUCUCCAUUUUGGGGUCACUUUGUGUCACUCCAACCUCACCCCUCAAUGUCCAGCAGAGAUUCUCAUGCCCAGGGGUCACUCCUGACCACUCUGAGGUCACUUUGAGGUCAUUCCUCUCCAUUUUGGGGUCACUUUGUGUCACUUUGAGGUCACUCCAAAGCACUUUGAGGUCACUCUGGCCUCACCUCCUCAAUGUCCAGCACCCCAAGUACUGUCCAAGCUUUCACUCCCCUGAUUUUGGGGUCACUUUGAGGUCACUCCAACCUCACCCCUCAAUGUCCAGCAGAGAUCCUCAUGUCCAGGGGUCACUCCAGACCACUCUGGGGUCACUCUGAGCUCACUCCAACCUCACCCCCUCAACGUCCACCCCUUCCCACCCCCUCUCCGUGCGGGAGAGGACCCGGCUCCGCGGGGCUCACCCCCCUCGCCCCGAGGGAAGCCGGCCCAGCUCCCCCCGAGCCCCGGC
ensembl:lncRNA